GGGUAGUUUGACUGGGGCGGUCUCCUCCUAAAGAGUAACGGAGGAGCACGAAGGUCAGCUAAUCCUGGUCGGACAUCAGGAGGUUAGUGCAAUGGCAUAAGCUGGCUUGACUGCGAGCGUGACGGCGCGAGCAGGUGCGAAAGCAGGUCAUAGUGAUCCGGUGGUUCUGAAUGGAAGGGCCAUCGCUCAACGGAUAAAAGGUACUCCGGGGAUAACAGGCUGAUACCGCCCAAGAGUUCAUAUCGACGGCGGUGUUUGGCACCUCGAUGUCGGCUCAUCACAUCCUGGGGCUGAAGUAGGUCCCAAGGGUAUGGCUGUUCGCCAUUUAAAGUGGUACGCGAGCUGGGUUUAGAACGUCGUGAGACAGUUCGGUCCCUAUCUGCCGUGGGCGCUGGAGAAUUGAGGGGGGCUGCUCCUAGUACGAGAGGACCGGAGUGGACGCAUCACUGGUGUUCGGGUUGUCAUGCCAAUGGCAUUGCCCGGUAGCUAAAUGCGGAAGAGAUAAGUGCUGAAAGCAUCUAAGCACGAAACUUGCCCCGAGAUGAGUUCUCCCUGACCCUUUAAGGGUCCUGAAGGAACGUUGAAGACGACGACGUUGAUAGGCCGGGU
rnacentral:rRNA from 1 species